ACUUCUGGUCGUCACGCCAAACACAUAAUGGAGAUCCAUCCAUGCAAAGCGCCGCCGUCGACCCUCCUACUAGACUCCCAUGUAUGUGUGACGGCGCGGCGCUCAUCACCGCCCCUACCUAGCGGCGGCGACAUCCAUUCUAUGAGUAUGGAUCCAGCAACUUCCGAUAAAGCACCAAAUCAAUCUCCCCGUACCCUUGCAGAGAUGGAACCUAGGCUCGGUUGUGAAUUUUCAUUGCAAACCAAUGGUGCCAAUAAUAGACAACCAGAAAUCAAUCUCCCUCCAGUCAUCCAGGAUAGCUUCAGCACACCCAAGAAAGGAGCUAGCAGCGGG
rnacentral:rRNA from 1 species